CUCAGGACCCAGCAUGGACGUGAGGGCCCCCAUGCAGUUCCUCGGGCUCCUGCUGCUCUGGCUCCAAGGUGCCAGGAGUGCCAUCCAGCUGACCCAGUCUCCAGCCUCCCUGGCUGCAUCUCUCGGAGACACAGUAUCCAUCACUUGCCAGGCCAGUCAGAGUGUUAGCAGUAAUUUAGACUGGUAUCAACAACAACCUGGGAAGGCUCAUAAACUCUUAAUCUAUUAUGCAUUUACUUUAUACAGUGGAGUCCCAUCACAGUUCAAGGACAGUGGAUCUGGCACUGAUUUCACCCUCACCAUCAGUGGCCUGCAGGCUGAAGAUGUUGGAACUUAUUACUGUCAGCAGGAAUACAGUGCACUUCCCACAGUGUUACAGGCCAGCAGAAAAAAACCCAGGGGAGCAGAUGCAUGA